GCCUCAGUAGUGCAGUGGUUAGCACACUUGCCGAAAAUGUGAAGCCUAGGGUUCAACUCCCAUUUGAGGCC